CCUACGGGUGGCAGCAGUGAGGAAUAUUGGUCAAUGGGCGGAAGCCUGAACCAGCCAAGUCGCGUGAGGGAAUAAGGCCCUACGGGUCGUAAACCUCUUUUGCCGGGGAGCAAGGGCGGGGACGUGUCCCGGCCCGGAGAGUACCCGGAGAAAAAGCAUCGGCUAACCCCGUGCCAGCAGCCGCGGUAAUACGGAGGAUGCGAGCGUUAUCCGGAUUUAUUUGGUUAAAAGGGUGCGUAGGUUGUUUUUUAAGUCGGCGGUGAAAGUUGGUGGCUCAACCAUAAAAUUGCCGUUGAGACUGGAGAGCUUGAGUGUGUUGGAGGUGGACGGAAUG
rnacentral:rRNA from 1 species